GGAGAGAUGACAGAGUGGACGAUUGUGUUCGACUCGAAAUCGAAUGUACCAUAGAGGUACCGGGGGUUCGAAUCCCUCUCUCUCCGCCA
rnacentral:tRNA from 1 species